ensembl:snRNA U6 U6 spliceosomal RNA
GUGCUUGCUUUGGCAGCACACAUGCUAAAAUUGGAACGAUACAGAGAAGAUUAGCAUAGCCCCUCCGCAAAGAUGACACGCAAAUUCAGGACGCAUUCAAUAUUUUU